rnacentral:rRNA from 1 species
AAAAAAUUUAUCUUCGAAUUAAAAGCAAAAAUUUGCUAAAAACAUUACUAUUUUUAUACAAUUUUUCUUUUUAAUAAAUGUUCUUUUUAAAUUCUUACUCAAUCUUAUGAACAGAAUAUUAAUCUUAAAGUUUUUUCCUACUUAUAUGCUUUCAGUAGUUAUUUUUAUUAAACUUAGCUACUCAGUAAAAUACUUAUGAUAAAAUAACUGAACUACUAUAGGUUUAAUCUCCUUGGUCCUCUCGUACUAAAGGAAAUACUUUACAAUAUUCUUACGUUUACAUCGGAUACGGACCGAACUGUCUCACGACGUUCUGAACCCAGCUCACGUGCCGCUUUAAUGGGCGAACAGACCAACCCUUGAGACCUGCUACAGCCUCAGGAUGCGACGAGCCGACAUCGAGGUGCCAAACCUCCCCGUCAAUAUGGACUAUCGGGAGAGAUCAGCCUGUU